rnacentral:lncRNA from 1 species
AUGACCUACAAUUUGAAACGGAGGGAGUACAAAUUAAGAGUGGACCACUGUGGCAAGUGUUUGUGGGAAAUUUGCAAAUAGAAACAAUCACCAAAACUAAACUCCAUGAAGUAUCACAAUCCAGUGUCUUAUAUACUGGUACUUAUGUCCGCUCCAUUCCAUUAUCUUCCAUCCAUAUGUGUGUUUAGAACAACGACAUAGCAGGUAGCUAGGUUCUCUCCACAAGCAAUGCAUUUCUGCUUGAGUUGCA